AACGUAGGUGGCAAGCGUUGUCCGGAAUUACUGGGUGUAAAGGGAGCGCAGGCGGAGCAGCAAGUUGGAAGUGAAAUACAUGGGCUCAACCCAUGAACUGCUUUCAAAACUGUUGGUCUUGAGUGGUGCAGAGGUAGGCGGAAUUCCCGGUGUAGCGGUGGAAUGCGUAGAUAUCGGGAGGAACACCAGUGGCGAAGGCGGCCUGCUGGGCACUAACUGACGCUGAGGCUCGAAAGUAUGGGGAGCAAACAGG
rnacentral:rRNA from 1 species